CUUUUAUUUUCUUUAUUCCCUUUACGUCCCUCCAGCUCACAGUUUGCUGAGAUGCUGGUCUGGUCCUGCAGCCUCUCUUGCCCUGGGGUGUGCCCCGAGGAAGGUUGCCUUGCCUGCGCCCCGGAAAGGAGGACUCUGAGAUGCCAAAGUGGCGGUAACGCCUCUCACUGGAGCUGCUGUCCUUAACAUCUUAAGAAGGUUUCAGCAGCCACACGAUCUGCGAGGUAAACACAGCAGUGUGCAAGCAGGUGCUUCCCAGCGUCUCAGGCCUAGGUGUGUCACAUCUCAUCCUCACGUAGAUCAUCAGAGAUGCUUCCUGCGACGUGUAAUUAACUGUCUUGCGCGCAGCAUGAAUCUCGUGCAAUAAUAUUGAGUGACAGACGUGGAUGAACACGCAUGCUGCCUUUGCUACGCACCUUGCAGGCUGCCAGCCUCACGCAGUGCACCCAUCCGUGCACCACAGCCCCCCUCAAGGCUCCCUGGCCAGCGGACACUGCCCCGGCAUGCUCUGAAGGUGCACAGCUCGCUUGCGCAAUGGAGCCUUGAAUAUGGAAACAUACAACCUGUGCACUUCGUAACAGGGCUGCUCACAUUUGUGUGCUGUCUGGCUACCUGCGGUACUCCCAACGUGCUCCCGCGCCCAGCUUCUGGGAUGGGAACUGUCUUGGCUGUGCCACCUUUGGGUCCAGGCUGUGCCUUGCAGCACAGACACCAUUUCGAGCGCAGCGGCAGAAACGGCUCUGCCAGCCGUGCUGAGGCUGGGGAUGUUCCUGCGCAACGUGAGGCUGUGACAGAUGGAGGGGGUGACCUGCUCCCAGCAGGGUUAAUGGGGAGCUGCGAAAGAGAUUACAGCCCUCAGCACCAGGGCUGCUGCCUGCCCCCUGCAACAGGAGCUGCUGUGAAUGCCACUGCGGAGGGAGCACGCGUGGUCAGCUGCCCUGGCUACUCAGUGGCUGGUUGCAAUUAAUUUAGGUUCAUUAACUCCCUUCUGGCAGUUAGCUAUAUUAUCUUGUUCCUAUUCAAAGCCCACCCUGUAGCCUAUGCAGCACCGGCUCUGGCAGAGAAGGACCAGAGUAGCAGUAAGUCAGUUCUAGUUUAAAUGCAAAACACCCGGCUGCCAUUUCCAGGAGCAACAGGGGCAUGACCAGAGCCAAGUGACCAGAGGGAGUUUGGCAUUUCAGUAUUCCCUGCCCACUCACUGUUAUUCAGUCUGUGUGGGGUCCUGAGGGCUUUUUCUGAUGCACAGUGUUGGAUCUGGCAUGUUACUUUUGCUCUCUGCAGCUGGAAAUCUUUAGGACAGAAACUGUGUUUACAUAUGGCUUGUGCUACAACUGCUACUAACUCUGUUAAAUUAAAAGCAGGUGAGAUCCAAGCCAGUGACUCAUUUCUGCUGAAACUCAGGUGUCUGUCCCAAACCACAAAAGUGUUAGAGUUGUCAAGGAUUAGCAGCUGUGCGUAUGUUAAUUCUCGUCCCCCCUUGGGAGCAAAAAUCAGUUCCCAUCCUCCAGCCCUGACGUGUCCUCACGUGGCAGAGCAGGACCAGGCAGCGACACUGGAGCUCGCUUAGGUACCAAGAACAAUUGCCACAUUAGCACAGCAAAGCACGCGUUUGAAGACUUCAUGCAAGUCCAGACUACAGCUUUAUCCUUUCCCCCAGCCCUUCCUUCUGGCCUCAGCUCCAGGAGUUCAGCGAGACCUUCAGGAGCAUCCUGGGAUGGUGCUGUCCCCACCUGCCUCCUUGGGGAACGUUUCCUGCAGCUCGGUGAGAGAGAAAGGCUCAGUGUUCAUGAGUUAUAUCAUUCUUUAUAUCAUUGUUAAGAGUAGCAGGUAUUGAUGUACAAUGCAUCUGUCAUCUUAUUGUGCUUCCUAUGAAAAUGUGUGUACAUAGUACAGAUACCAGAGAGAAUUCAACACUUUAUACACUUGAAGGCAUUCAGAGAUCAGUAACAGAAAAAAAAUGGCACAAGAACAAGGCCUAAAAGCUACUAGAUGGGUAUCUACACUGAUAUGAUGCAUAUAGAGAUAUAUAUAUAUGUACACAUAUAUAUAUAGUCAUAUAUAUUAUAUAUAAGAAAUAUAAAAUGAGGAUGAUAUAAUAGAAACAAACAAAAAAGUCUAUGCUUCAUCGAGUGAGCAUCAAGGUCAAAUCCCAGCCCCAUCUUUAAAAGCUUUAACGGGAGUAAGAAAGAAACAAAAUAAAUAAAUGAAAUGCAAUGAAACAUUAGGAAAAAUCCAUAAGAAAAUUUAUGGAUGUGGCCGACCCGUCAUCUUUGGGCGAUUGCUGGAUACAAAGGACUGACCCCCAGUUCCUAAUUUUGGUCAGGAAGCAAAUAAUAAUAAUAAUAGAAACAAAACCGAGGUUUUAAAAUCA